rnacentral:rRNA from 1 species
UACGGAGGGUGCGAGCGUUGUCCGGAAUCACUGGGCGUAAAGGCGCGUAGGCGGCCUGAUAAGUAGGGGUGAAAUCCUGCGGCUUAACCGCAGGGCUGCCUUCUAAACUGUCAGGCUAGAGCACAGUAGAGGCAGGUGGAAUUCCCGGUGUAGCGGUGGAAUGCGUAGAGAUCGGGAAGAACAUCGGUGGCGAAGGCGCUCUGCUGGACCAUAACGUGACACUCAGGGACGAAAGCUAGGG